GUUAGUCGCGAAUUUAGGUGGGUCGACGAUAGACGAAUGCGCAUGCACCCGCUUGUUGGACAUGUGCAGUGGGACUGUCAAACGUUGUUUAUCAUAAUGGAUAGCGGAUUUAUAUUUUAUAGAACCAUAUGUGAGUGGCUUUACAGAAACAACCAAAGAACUUGGAGACCUUCUUAAAUGAUGUAGAGUUUGCACUGAAGGAGGGGUUCUUAAAGGAUGUAGGUCAAGAUACAUCACCCACAGCCAGUAAAUAGGUGUGCUCAUCAACAGGUCAAGAUACAUCGCCCACAGCUGGUCAAGAGGUGUGCUCAUCGGCAGGUCAAGAUACAUUACCCCCAGCUAGUCAAGAUGUUUGGCCAUCAGCACAUCAAGAUACAUCCCCUACAGCCAGUCAAGAGUUUUGCUCAUCAGAACAUCAAGAUACAUCACACACAGCCAGUCAGGAGGUGAACCUUAGGAAAUACACUGCAACAUUAAGCCAGAAGCAUGGACGAAGAUGACCACACUAUAUCAGAUGAGGAUGAAGAGGAAUAUGAGGGAAAGAGAAAAAGGAAGCCCCCCAAAAAGGCUGCAAAACGUCAGAAAUUCACAGAGGUAGAAACAGAGGAAAUAAAAACUAACUUUAGUGAAUAUCUUAAAAGUGGAAUUUGUCAGCGGAACCAGCAGGUUGAAGAUGCCAAACAUAAAAGUCGUAAGAAAAAUGGGCAAAUUUGGAAAAGGUCAAACGACAAGAUAAUUGAGAAAAUUAGUGCAAUGAAUCCAGGGCUUUUUUUCCUGACUUUGUGAAGCGGCCCUGGCCCCCUUACUUUGUGAAAAAAUGAGUCGCGAACUUUUCAAAAUUGUGAAAAAAUGAGUUGCAAUCUUUUCAAAAUUGUGACAAAUUGAGUCGCGAACUUUUCAAAAUUGUGAAAAAUUGAGUCGCGAACUUCUUAAAAUUGUGAAAAACUGAGUCGUGAAAUUAUUAAAAUUGUGAAAAACGGCCCAUUUUAUAAAAAUUCACGGCCAUGUUAGGUUUGUGAAUUGUCCUUUUCAAAAUUGUGAAAUGUCCUUCCACGGCCACUCAUAAAGGAGGAAAAAAAGCCCUGGAAUCAUAAGAAAAAAUAAAAAAACAUGUUGUUUACUAUCGGUACUCGGAUGGAACAUUAUAAGAAUACUUUCGAGGGACAUUGAAAAGAUCAUGCAACAGUGACUUGGCAAAUAUGGGUGAUGUUUGUAUGCAAGUGGUAAUUUUUGUGUGUGCAUUUUAUUUGUUGAAUUGAAACUUUACUAUGUAUAUGUCUAAAGGUGGACAAGAAUCUGGUAUAUUAUCAAAUGUUUAAAAUGCUUAUACAAAAGCUUAGAUACAAUAUUUUCCUUUUUGCUUCAUCGAUGCUUUUGGAAUGUACCUUAUUUAUUUUCUUAUAUACCUGAUUUCAGUUUACAAAUAAUAUAAGUAAAGUUUAAGGUAUAUAAUAAAAACACAUGUUAUGAACAUAAGGUCACAAAUGAAUUUUUGAAGCAAGCUCUAUUUGUCACUACUUAGGAAGAAACAUUUUUCCAAAUAGAUUCUUUUUUCUCCUGUGGUUUUUCUUAGAUUCACAACUUUUGUUAUUUAAAAAAAGAGAUUGUGUGUCCUUUCCGAAAUUCGCUAAUAAUAUGUAACUUAAGCUGCCAUAUGUAUGGUCCAAACUUGAAGAAAAUGUUUUGGCAAGACCGAUAUGGAAUCUGGGUCAUGUGGGUCCAAAAGCUAGAAUGUGUGCACAAAUUUACAAAAAUAAUUGUAAAUAUGCUUGAAGACACAUUUUUGAUCCAUUUUUUUUUCAAAAUAAUAUCAAGUUUGACAAAUCUUAAGGAAACUUUGUAAGAGUUGUCUAGACAUUUUUAGUUUGAAAUUGUUAGUACAAAAUACAUAUGCACACACCCUAAGCAUGUUUUUUUUUGGUUUUACAAUUACUGGUUUGUAAUAUUUAAAAAGGACGAGGCAGUUGACUAAACACUGACAAUUAGUUUUUUCUGAUGGGAAUGUUUACCAGUAUGAUUGGAAUAAUUUUUGUCAUGCCGCUGGCAUUGAGAUCAAUAUAGUUGCCACAAUGGCACUUGAGUGUCUGUAUGUACGUUGGUUUAGGUUUUCAGUCAGGAUUGCUUGUCCAGGCUGUAUCGCCCUUAUGCAUUGACACUUUUAAAAAAAAAAUAACUUGGCAUAAUUGUUAAACACCAUGAGCCGGUGUGCAACAAGAAAGAUCCAGGUCUCUAGCUCAAAGGUCAAGGUCACACUUCAAAUAUCGUCAAAUAUAGAUCCAUUGUAUGGGUUCUGCGAGUUUGACAGUCCCACUACACAAAAAAGCCACAUGUCCAACACGCGGGUGUACGCGCAUGCGUCAAUUAGAAAGCCUGGUGUUCAUUGGCUCGUCGUUUUCAUAAACAGGCUUUCUGAUUGCCUCAGAUAUAGUCGCUCAAGUGGAUAUAAGAGUUCAAAGGUCAAAAAUGAGCAUUAUACACCUUGUCCGGUCUGUAUCUCCCUUAUACAUUGACACUUUUUGUAAACAAAUAUUUCUUGUUGGUUUUUGUCAGUUUUUUUUUAUAUUAUUAAUUGUGUCUGUGUCCAAACAGGAUACCAACUUUGCUUUAUUGACACUGGACUCGACAGGCAUCUAGUUCUGAAGUUCAUGUCACGUGUGUGUAUAGGUUAAUGGAGAUAUAUUUUAUACAUAUUAACUGUCUAUAUGUGUAGAUAGGAUUUAUACUGAGUCUGUAGAAGAAUACGACAUUCAAUUUCAAUAUUUGUUUGACUUUCCCUAGGUGUCGUGUAGCUCAACUUUUCAAAGAAAAUGAGAGCUAUUGUACCCACCGCGGCAUUUGCUGUGGUUAAUUUUUUUAUAAAUCACAAAUAACUUUGGAAAAAUGUUAUUUGUAUUUGUCAAGAUUAGUUUUUCAUUACAAAAGCUUAAAUUACAAAACUUCAAUGUACUGAAAAGUACGUGUGAUCUGAGAUUAUACUCUGUAAUAACUUGAACAUAUUGAAAAUUAACAUGUGAUCUGAGCAAAUAUGUGACAAGUAUUCAGAAAAGUUGACCAGCGCUGUCCUCAGACAGCCCUCGUUUUUAAUUGUUUUAUUUUGUUCCAUUUAGUUCUGCUGCAGUAAAAUCCAUUUGCGAACAUAGUUUAAUCUGAUAUUUACUAAUCUUUACACUCUUCCUAUAGAGACGGAUAUUUUAGUUUAAGAAUAAGGUCAUAUUUUUCAGUAACAUUUUAUUUAUAUCUUUCUUUGAUGACCCACAAUAAUUGAUGUUUAAGGUUCAUAUUAGUAACAUCCCACAACCAUUUUGUUAAUCUUAUGCUAUUAAAGUUUGUCCAGUAUGCCUGCAUUUUGUCAUUUAUUGGUUUGCAACAUUGUUUUGAAUAGACCAAUGAUGCACAUUACUUUUUACCAUUUUAUCUUGCAGGCAAAAUAUCCACCAUAUGUCUUUACAUACACCCCUGAAAAAUAAAAAAUGUGUAGUUUUAAGUCAUGUUGUGUAAAUGUACCUGAAUGUAUGUUGAAUUGGUGGGUAACCAUGGUCUUGGUGUGUGAUGUUUUACCGGGUAUGUGGUUUUGUAUGGCUGAAGUGAGAAAGAGAAGAAAUUACAUUAUCAAAUGUUGCCAUUUUUAAUGUGUGAAUCCAGUUAGUUGUGGUUAAGCGCAAUUUGAUGCACAAUGCGGAUUAUUUCAUUUAUAAUAUUUUUGAACAUGAUAAAGGAAAUUUAUGUCAAUAUUCCUUUUGCUUAAGUUUUGGGGAAAGUGAUUACAAUGGUUGAAAUUUUCUACAUUCAAAGAAUAGGUAUUGUAUUGUUUCUUUAGAGCACUAGCAUAGAUUGCAAAUACUUGAUUGUAUUAGUUUACAUUUAUAAAAGUAGGCAUUCAUGACAGUUAUUUGAUACGAUAUGUUUUUAUUAAACAUUUCUAACAUA